UACGGGGGGAGCAAGCGUUGUCCGGAUUUACUGGGCGUAAAGAGCGCGCAGGCGGUCGUUCAAGUCGAGUGUGAAAGCCCCCGGCUCAACUGGGGAGGGUCACUCGAUACUGAUCGACUUGAAGGCAGGAGAGGGAAGCGGAAUUCCCGGUGUAGUGGUGAAAUGCGUAGAUAUCGGGAGGAACACCAGUGGCGAAGGCGGCUUCCUGGCCUGUUCUUGACGCUAAGGCGCGAAAGCUAGGGGAGCAAACGGG
rnacentral:rRNA from 1 species